UACGGAGGGUGCAAGCGUUAAUCGGAAUUACUGGGCGUAAAGCGCACGUAGGCGGCUUUGCAAGUCAGGUGUGAAAGCCCACGGCUCAACCGUGGAACUGCACUUGAAACUGCUUGGCUUGAGUCCGAGAGAGGGUGGCGGAAUUCCGGGUGUAGGAGUGAAAUCCGUAGAUAUCCGGAGGAACACCAGUGGCGAAGGCGGCCAUCUGGCCUAAUACUGACGCUGAGGUACGAAAGCAUGGGGAGCAAACAGG
rnacentral:rRNA from 1 species